UACGUAGGGUGCGAGCGUUAAUCGGAAUUACUGGGCGUAAAGCGUGCGCAGGCGGUUCGCCAAGUCAGGUGUGAAAUCCCCGGGCUUAACCUGGGAAUUGCGCUUGAAACUAGCGGGCUUGAGUGCGGCAGAGGGGGGUGGAAUUCCACGUGUAGCAGUGAAAUGCGUAGAGAUGUGGAGGAACACCGGAUGGCGAAGGCAGCCCCCUGGGUCGACACUGACGCUCAUGCACGAAAGCGUGGGGAGCGAACAGG
rnacentral:rRNA from 1 species